CCUACGGGCGGCAGCAGUGAGGAAUAUUGGUCAAUGGGCGCGAGCCUGAACCAGCCAAGCCGCGUGAGGGAUGAAUGUACAGCGUAUCGUAAACCUCUUUUGUCAAGGAACAAAGUCGGGCACUAGUGCCCUGCUGAGUGUACCUUAUGAAUAAGCAUCGGCUAACUCCGUGCCAGCAGCCGCGGUAGUACGGAGGAUCCGAGCGUUAUCCGGUUUUAUUGGGUUUAAGGGGUGCGCAGACGGCCUGUUAAGUCAGUGGUAAAAGCCCGGGGCUCAACCCCGGCUAGCCGUUGAAACUGGCGGGCUGGAGUUGGAUAGAAGUAAGCGGAAUGCGCGGUGUAGCGGUGAAAUGCUUAGAUAGCGCGAAGAACCCCGAUUGCGAAGGCAGCGUACUGGAUUGACACUGACGCUGAGGCACGAAAGCGUGGGUAUCGAACAGGAUUAGAUACCCCUGUAGUC
rnacentral:rRNA from 1 species